rnacentral:rRNA from 1 species
CACGUAGGGCGCAAGCGUUGUCCGGAAUUAUUGGGCGUAAAGAGCUCGUAGGCGGUCUGUUGCGUCUGCUGUGAAAACCCGGGGCUUAACCCCUGGCUUGCAGUGGAUACGGACAGACUAGAGGUAGGUAGGGGAGAAUGGAAUUCCCGGUGUAGCGGUGAAAUGCGCAGAUAUCAGGAGGAACACCGGCGGCGAAGGCGGCACUCUGGGCCGGUACUGACGCUGAGGAGCGAAAGCGUGGGUAGCAAACAGG